CCUAAGUAUGGUGUAUUGGACUUCAGACUAAUGUUUCCUUACAGAAAAGUAGACAUGAUCAGAGAUUCGGGGAUCUCAAUACUUGUAAAGAAAAACCAAAAAACAGUUUUCUUUAGAAGGUCUUUCGAGCAGGAAAAAUGAAACGGUUUGUAGAAGACGAUUAAUGGACUAAUACGUCAGAAAGGCAGGUGAUAGAUGAAACGCAUUAGCUUAAAAGCUUUUGUCGGUGUAACGCACAGAAAAGAAAUUUUCCAAUUACUUACUUUUUCACAAGCAGUAAAGCAUGAUCAGUUUGUACAAUGUAAAAACAAGCUUCUUUUUAAAUAAUUGGGCAUAGUAGUCAUCAUCAUAUUACAAUGUCAAAAUUUUGUUUUUCUUACGAUUACAAAC